rnacentral:lncRNA from 1 species
AUCACCAUCAGGCAUAUUAUAUAUUUGUUUUUUAUUUCAGCCCCACCAGGGCAAGAACUGUUAUUUUGUUUUACAGUUUUAUCUCCACCACCUAGAAUGGUAUCUGGCACACAGCAGGCACUCAAUAAAUGUUUCUUGAAGCAAUGAAUAAUAGUACUGCCAGUGGACAUUCGCUCUGUCCCCCGCACCCAGCACUGUGACCCGGAGCACUUCCCCUUCCCUGCCCCAGCCAAUGCCCCCCUACAGCGCAUCCGCUCCACGUCCACUCCCAACGUCCAUAUGGUCAGCACCACGGCCCCCAUGGACUCCAACCUCAUCCAGCUCACUGGCCAGAGUUUCAGCAC